GUUGAAGGUGCUGAGUAUGGCAAGAGGGUGGAAGAGUGUGCCCUGCUGGGAGAGGAAGAAUAGGAAAGCUAGGAAGAGAAGAAGCUCCACCAACUAUGCCAGGCAGCCAGCUUGAUGUCUUGGCCUUGUGUGUCUCCAUCCAUCAUGGGCUCAGAGCAUUAGCUGGAGACUUCACUGGGUAAUCCUUGCAUCUGGUACAAAGUCCUGGGGCUGAGCAGUGUCUAAUGGCACAGGAAGAAAAUCAGUUUCAAACUGAAGCUACUAAAUGCUGAGGAAUGCAUCUUAUUAACUUCAUGCUCUGUUGAGGUUUCCUGGCAUGUUCUCACUUAGCUGUUUGCCCAGGUUUGUGGAAUGGGCAUUGGGCAUCUUGCUUGGUAAGGAAUGGAGAUGUCAGCAGGACUCAAGCAGGCCUUAAAGAAAUUUGGGGUUGGUUUCAUUCCCACACCCCUUCUGGGUGAUCUGCCUCCUUGACUGUGCCAGUCUGGUUCAGCUUUAGAUCCAAUUUUGAAUGGUUUUGGGCAUUAUUUAAGCCUGUGUAAUAUUUUAUCCUACAUAUAAAAUUAUUCUUUGUG